AUUGAACGCUGGCGGCAGGCCUAACACAUGCAAGUCGAGCGGGUGAAGGGAGCUUGCUCCUGGAUUCAGCGGCGGACGGGGGAGGAAUGCCUAGGAAUCUGCCUGGGAGUGGGGGAUAACGUCCGGAAACGGGCGCUAAUACCGCAUACGUCCUGAGGGAGAAAGUGGGGGAUCUUCGGACCCCACGCUAUCAGAUGAGCCUAGGUCGGAUUAGCUAGUUGGUGGGGUAAAGGCCUACCAAGGCGACGAUCCGUAACUGGUCUGAGAGGAUGAUCAGUCACACUGGAACUGAGACACGGUCCAGACUCCUACGGGAGGCAGCAGUGGGGAAUAUUGGACAAUGGGCGAAAGCCUGAUCCAGCCAUGCCGCGUGUGUGAAGAAGGUCUUCGGAUUGUAAAGCACUUUAAGUUGGGAGGAAGGGCAGUAAGUUAAUACCUUGCUGUUUUGACGUUACCAACAGAAUAAGCACCGGCUAACUUCGUG
rnacentral:rRNA from 1 species